rnacentral:rRNA from 1 species
UGGUUGCUCAAGAAAAGAAUUUUAGUUCUGUCUUAAAAAUUUAAAGCAAUAACAAGCUAAUUUUAAGGAUUACUCAAUUAGGGUACAGCCUAAUUGAAACAGGGUACAACCUAAAUUUUAGGAUAAUGAUUUAAUCUAAAAAGUCAAAGACUAAGUCGGCUUAAAAGCAGCCAUCUUUUAAAAAGCGUCAAAGCUUCGUCUUAUAACUACUUAUAUUUUAUUAAUUUUUCAAAAUCCGAUACUACUACUGAGCUAUUCCAUACUUCUAUGGAAUUAUUAAUGUUAGGACUAGUAACACAGAAUUAUUUCUCUUCCAUGUAAGUAUAAAUCAGUCCGGAUACCCCACUGAUAACCACCCAGAUUUGACUAAAUAGUAAUUUUGGAAUUCCCAUGAAAACACUACUUUCCUUCCUGUUGACCUAACACAAGAACAUGUAAGAAAGAUUAAAAGACUAAGAAGGAACUCGGCAAACACUAGUCUCGCCUGUUUACCAAAAACAUCGCCUUAUGAAAAUUAUAUAAGGUAACGCCUGCCCAGUGAUAUAUUUCAACGGCCGCGGUAUUCUGACCGUGCGAAGGUAGCGUAAUCAUUUGUCUUUUAAAUAAAGACUUGUAUGAAUGGCAUCACGAAGACUUAACUGUCUCCCUAGUCCUAUCAGUGAAACUGAUCUUCCCGUGCAAAAGCGGGAAUAAAACCAUAAGACGAGAAGACCCUAUGGAGCUUAAAACUAAAAUCUAAUUAUACUAUUCUAUUAAAUUAAUUAAUACUAUAUUGUAUAAACUUAAUUUAAGUUUUCAGUUGGGGUGACUGUGGAGAAGAACUUAUCCUCCAUGUAGAAUCAAGUUUUGAGCUACUACUCUUAGCAUUAGCAAGCCUAACUUUACUUGAUCCAAUAAUUUUGAUCAACGGACCAAGUUACCCUAGGGAUAACAGCGCAAUCCAUUUCAAGAGUCCAUAUCGACAAAUGGGUUUACGACCUCGAUGUUGGAUUAGGACACCCUGGUGGUGCAGCCGCUACUGAUGGUUCGUUUGUUCAACGAUUAAAGUCCU